AACACACACACACACACAUACAUAUUAUACUGCAAACAAACACCAUAUAAUCUUUCUACCUGAUUUCAUUGUUACAACAAAACAACAAAAAAUAAUUCUAUUUUCUUUUUGGGUUAAAUAAACAGAAACCAAAAAGCUCUCAAAGACAAGAAUAUUUAUUGCAAGGGAACUGUCAUCCUUAAGUUCACACCAAACAGGAUCUCCUAACCAUAUUAACCUCACGCAUGGCUACUUUUCUUACUAAAAUGUGAGAAUGCAUGCUAAGAAUACCCUUUUUACUGUAAUCAUUAUUCAUGAACUUUUAGCUAAAUGGCCCCUCCAACAUCGCCUGACCUUCUCCCCCCCACUGCAACCAUUUGCUACAAAUAAAAAGACAUGGUUCUUAUUACCAUUGUUCCACAUAAAUUCACCUGCAUCCUCACAUGCACAAUGCAUACUGCAAUGCACGCAUGGUUUUAAAUUGUAGCCACUGCCACAUUCACGAUCACGGUCGUGAAUAACGAAAACAGGCCUGUAACGGCCAUAACGUAACGUUAACGGUUUGUCACUAUGCAAAUUUUUUUAAAAAAUUUGCAUAGUGACA
rnacentral:misc_RNA from 1 species